rnacentral:lncRNA from 1 species
UGCAUUGCUCUUGUCCAAAAACCAACAUAUCUUCUAAUAUAUUAAGGGUGCGUUUGGUUCGCGCUAUCUUUUAAAGAUUUCUAGUAAUCCAAUGGGAAUAAAAAAAUAUGACGGUGUUUGGCUAAACCUACUAAGUAAUCUAGUUGGUAAUAUUGGAUUCACUUGGGAAUAAGAUUCACCCCAAAGUAUUAAUCUCAUUUCCUUGAGGGAGGGUGGGUAUCCUCAUAUUAAUGGAUUGGGAUAAUCAUAAUAUGUUUAAUCUCUUUCUUUCUUCCUACCCGCCGGUUAAUUGAUAUUAUUUUUCUUUACACUCUAAUCUUAUAUCUCUCUCUAAACUUAUUUUUCUCUCUAAAAUUCAACUUUUUUUUCUCUCUCUAAACUAAGCUUUCUCUCUUCUCUCUCUCUCUUUCUAAAAUUUCAACUCUCUUACUCCCUCUAAUUUCGACUAUAUUUUUCUUUCUAUGUUUUUAAUUACGCUCUCUCUCUCUAACUUAUACUCUCUCUUCCUUUUUUCUAAAAAGAUGUUGAAACUUUUGGUAAUAUUAUUUAAAAUUAAAUUAAUUAAUUAAUUAAUUAAUUGUAUAUUUUUUGUAAUAUUAAAUAACAUGGCUAAUUAAUAUUACCGUGCGAACCAAACACAAAAAUUCCAUAUUCUUAGUAAUAGGAUAAUAGGAAUAAGAUUCUCGAAUAUCUUUUAUUCCUAGUAAUCUUUCAUAAUGCGAACCAAACGCACCCUAAAUGUUAUUAAAAUUCUCUGUAAGAACUAUUCAAAAACUCAGC